AGAUCUUAAGUAGACGUAGUGCGGUCGAGAAUCGGGUCAGGGAGGGUUCACAUAUAGUCGAGUGGGUCAAAAGGAAGUGGUUGCAUUGUUGAAGACACUGAGGUUAUUGCUUCAUCGAGUACAACACUCCUCAGGAAGCUGAGCUUGCCAAUGAGAAGGUACAAGCUAGACAGAGCACACAAUUUUGAUGUCAACAUGUUUGAUGAAAUCGACAGAUUCAUGAAAGUCCCAGACGAGUGGGGUCCACCUUAUACACCAGGGCUAGCUGAAGGAAUUGCCGGAAUUCAACACAACCCCUUCUACAUGCAUCGCGC